rnacentral:rRNA from 1 species
GAUGAACGCUGGCGGCAUGCCUAAUACAUGCAAGUCGAACGAGAGGAAGGAAAGCUUGCUUUCCUGAAUCUAGUGGCGAACGGGUGAGUAACACGUAGGUAACCUGCCCAUGUGCCCGGGAUAACUUCUGGAAACGGAUGCUAAAACCGGAUAGGUAGCAGACAAGCAUUUGACUGCUAUUAAAGUGGCCUUGGCCAUGAACAUGGAUGGACCUGCGGUGCAUUAGCUAGUUGGUGAGGUAACGGCCCACCAAGGCGACGAUGCAUAGCCGGCCUGAGAGGGCGGACGGCCACAUUGGGACUGAGACACGGCCCAAACUCCUACGGGAGGCAGCAGUAGGGAAUUUUCGUCAAUGGGGGGAACCCUGAACGAGCAAUGCCGCGUGAGUGAGGAAGGUCUUCGGAUCGUAAAGCUCUGUCGUAAGAGAAAAACGGCACUCAUAGGGAAUGAUGAGUGAGUGAUGGUAUCAUACCAGAAAGUCACGGCUAACUACGUGCCAGCAGCCGCAGUAAAAC